rnacentral:tRNA from 1 species
GAGGGUACAGCUCAGUGGUAGAGCAUUUGCUUACCAUGCACGAGCUCUUGGGUUCAAUACCCAGUACAUCCA